GCGCACCAGGCGCGAAUCCUUCGCAAUGCAGGAAACUGCGACGAGGGAACUCCAAGUGCCUACGCUCAGCGUAGGCUGUUCUCAAGCCUAGAAAGCUUGAGGAGUAAGGGCUGGGUAAGACGGGUGCCAUCUGUGGUAGCAGUCAAUAGAUUCGAUUUGUUACUGCAAGGCAUAAGCCGCCGCGGUAAUACCCGCAGCCCAAGUGGUGGCCGCUUUUAUUGGGCCUAAAGCGUCCGUAGCCGGCCCGGUAAAUGCCUGGGUAAAUCGUGGAGCCCAACUUCACGAAUUCCGGGUAGACUGCCGAGCUCGGGACCGAAGAGGGAGAGGGGUACUUCGAGGGGUAGGGGCG
rnacentral:rRNA from 1 species